rnacentral:ncRNA from 1 species
AAAUAUUAAAGUGAGAUUCCUGAGGACUGAAGUGGAGGAGGGUUCCACGUGAACAGCAGUUGAUUCAUGGGUUAGUCGAUCCUAAGAUAUUGGCUAAUGCCGUUUUUUGAAUAAAAUAGAGAAAUGAAGGUGUAAUCCAUCCAAUAAAUUGAAAGGGAAACGGGUUAAUAUUUCCGUACUGGGAUUAAUGUCAUGAAGUAUUUAAUGUCCUAAGAUUUUUGGUU